GAUGAAUGCUGGCGGCGUGCCUAACACAUGCAAGUCGAGCGGCAGCGACGGGUGCUUGCACGCUCUCGGCGAUAGGCCAACGGCUGAGUACCGUGGAGUAAUUUUCCCCAACGUGAGGAAUAACUACCCGAAAGGGUAGCUAAUGCCGCAUAUGGUCUUCGGAUUAGAGGAUUUAUCCGCUUUGGGAGAAGCCUGCGUUGGAUUAGGUUGUUGGUAGGGUAAUGGCCUACCAAGCCGACGAUCCAUAGCUGGCCUGAGAGGAUGAUCAGCCAGACUGGAACUGAGACACGGCCCAGACUCCUACGGGAGGCAGCAGUGGGGAAUCUUCGACAAUGGGCGAAAGCCUGAUGGAGCAACGCCGCGUGAAGGAUGAAGGCCUUAGGGUUGUAAAGCUCUUUUAUGAGUGAAGAAUAUGACGGUACCGGAUGAAUAAGCACCGGCUAACUACGUA
rnacentral:rRNA from 1 species